rnacentral:rRNA from 1 species
GGGGAAUAUUGGACAAUGGGCGAAAGCCUGAUCCAGCCAUGCCGCGUGUGUGAAGAAGGUCUUCGGAUUGUAAAGUACUUUAAGUUGGGAGGAAGGGCUGCAAGUUAAUACCUUGUAGUUUUGACGUUACCAACAGAAUAAGCACCGGCUAACUUCGUGCCAGCAGCCGCGGUAAUACGAAGGGUGCAAGCGUUAAUCGGAAUUACUGGGCGUAAAGCGCGCGUAGGUGGUUUGGUAAGAUGGAUGUGAAAUCCCCGGGCUCAACCUGGGAAGUGAAGCCAUAAGUGGCGGAGUAGAGUACGGGAGAGGGUGGGGGAAUUUCCGGUGUAGAGGUGAAAUGCGUAGAUAUAGGAAGGAACACCAGUGGAGAAGGCGACCACCUGGACUGAUACUGACACUGAGGUGCGAAAGCGUGGGGAGCAAACA